rnacentral:rRNA from 1 species
AGUGAACGCUGGCGGUAUGCCUAACACAUGCAAGUCGAACGGCAGCACAGUAAGAGCUUGCUCCUACGGGUGGCGAGUGGCGGACGGGUGAGGAAUACAUCGGAAUCUACUUUUUCGUGGGGGAUAACGUAGGGAAACAUACGCUAAUACCUCAUACGACCUACGGGUGAAAGCAGGGGAUCUUCGGACCUUGCGCGAUUGAAUGAGCCGAUGUCGGAUUAGCUAGUUGGCGGGGUAAAGGCCCACCAAGGCGACGAUCCGUAGCUGGUCUGAGAGGAUGAUCAGCCACACUGGAACUGAGACACGGUCCAGACUCCUACGGGAGGCAGCAGUGGGGAAUAUUGGACAAUGGGCGCAAGCCUGAUCCAGCAAUGCCGCGUGGGUGAUGAAGGCCUUCGGGUUGUAAAGCCCUUUUGUUGGGAAAGAAAAGCAGCAUGUUAAUACCCCGCUGUUCUGACGGUACCCAAAGAAUAAGCACCGGCUAACUUCGUG